UACAGAGGGUGCAAGCGUUGUUCGGAAUUAUUGGGCGUAAAGAGCGCGUAGGCGGUCCGGUAAGUCCGCUGUGAAAGUCAAGGGCUCAACCCUUGAAUGCCGGUGGAUACUGUCGGGCUAGAGUCCGGAAGAGGCGAGUGGAAUUCCCGGUGUAGAGGUGAAAUUCGUAGAUAUCGGGAGGAACACCGGUGGCGAAGGCGGCGACCUGGGUCGAGACUGACGCUGAGGCGCGAAAGCGUGGGGAGCAAACAGG
rnacentral:rRNA from 1 species